rnacentral:rRNA from 1 species
GCUGGUCCCUGACGUGCUCUAUGCCUCCACGCUCAUUAUUGUUUUUUGUCGCGAGGGCAAUGAAUCGGUGGAGGUUGCUGCCUGCCAUCAAGAUGGGGCGUGCGUCGACCUCACUCGGUUACACUUGGAACAAUGGAUGCAAGUCCAACUUGCGGCCAGGAAGCGCCGAACCAGGAGGAUAACAUCACUCACACCCUGCGUGCCAUUGACCGUUCUUAAUUUGGUUCUUCUUCAAUCAACCAACCAACUCAUCACUCUCAUAUGUUCUUUCAUUGUUGCAUUCUUCAUAUCGCCACGCAAUCUCUCUAAUUACCUUGGCUUCUUCUCAGGCUGGGUGAAGCUUUCCCCUAAUCUCGCAACAAAAUUUUGGCUUUCUUCUUUUUCAUGAGAUGACUGCUCUAAACACCUUUUGUGGUUAGUGUACUACUUUACGAUGUGAGUAAUGUUUGUUUGUGUUUAAUCACAUGUCAAGUGAUGUCCAGAUUCAGAUUCUUGCGCCCCCAGAUACAAGCCAAGCAGAACGGGCCUCCACAGGCCUCGUGCACAAAGCUCGAUCAUGGCCACAGCGGCGGCGCGGUUACUCAUCGCCUGCCUCAACGUCGCCUUCUUGCUCAUGGCCUUCUUCUUCUGCGUCUCGCGCCCUGCCGUGCCGCGGGAUUCGGCGACGUCCAUGAACGGCUGGAGCGGCGACGAGCGCGAGGGGCACGGCCAUGGCGGCGGCUGCGACGGUGCUCACCGGCGGCUGGAGGUUGACAAGGACAGGUGCGGCUACGACGCCGCUACAUCAUCGUCAGUUGCCGGCCGGUGCUACCCGCGGGGACGGGGCUACGUCGAUUACCUGUACCUGUUCUACUGCGUCUGCGGCGACGAGCACCGGGCCCUUGGGUACGCCGCGAUGGCCGCGUGGCUCGCCGUGCUCUUCUACGUCCUGGGCGACACCGCGGCGGUCUACUUCUGCUCCAGCCUCGAGGGCCUCUCGCGGCUGCUCCGCCUGUCCCCGGCCGUGGCCGGCGUGACGCUCCUGUCGCUGGGCAACGGCGCGCCGGACGCGCUCUCCACCGUCGCCUCCUUCGCGUCGGGCGGCACCGGGAAGGGAGCGAGCACCGCCGUGGGGCUCAACGGCUUGCUCGGCGGCGCGCUGUUCGUGUCCUCCGCCGUGCUCGGCGUCAUCUGCCUCCGCGUCGGCGGCCGCGGCGUCGCCAUCGACAGAGGCAGCUUCUUCCGGGACGCGUGCUUCCUCCUCAUCGCCCUCGCCGCCGUCGCCGUUGUCCUCGCCGCGGGCGAGGUCAGCAUUUGGGGCGCCCUCGCCUUCACCUCCCUCUACCUCGUAUACGUCCUCGUCGUCGUCUUUAUCCACGGCAGAUCGCACGACGGAGAGGCAGAGGCGGCGUGGGUCGACACCACCGCCUCGUCGGAGCUCUGCAACGUCGUGGAGACGGAUUUUUACCCCGACCAAGAACCGCUGCUCCCCGAAAGGGCGCCCCUCCUGCAGUACUACGCCGGCGACGCAACGAAGAAAAAGAAGGGCGUGUUCUGGUCGGCGGUGCGCGUGCUGGAGCUACCUCUGUACCUCCCGCGGCGGCUGACCAUACCGGACGCGAGCGAGGAGCGGUGGAGCAAGCCGGCCGCGGUCGCCGCGGCGACCCUUUCCCCUGUCUUCCUCUCUUGCCUCUGGAGCCACGCCACCGGGAGCCCGCCCCUCGCCCUCCUCCUCGGCGGCAUCGCCGGCCUGUCCCUGGGCCUCCUCGCCUUCCUCAGCACGGAGGCUGAUGCCCCGCCGACGAAAUUCCUCUCGGCCUGGCUCGCCGGUGGGUUCGUCAUGAGCGUGGCCUGGGAGUACGUCAUCGCGAACGAGCUCCUCUCCCUUCUUGUGUCCGCCGGCCUGGUGCUGGGUGUGGAUCCGGCGACGCUGGGGAUGACAGUUCUAGCAUGGGGCAACUCGCUGGGCGACCUCAUCGCGAACGUGGCCGUGGCCGUGGCGGCGCGCCGCGGUGGAGCCCAGGUGGCCGUAGCAGGUUGCUACGGCGGGCCGGUGUUCAACGUCCUCGUGGGGCUGGGCCUGUCUCUGUUGCUGUCUUGCUGGGCCGGGUACCCGAAGCCCGUAGCGAUACCCUGGGAGCCCAGGCUCUACCAGACGCUAGGCUGGGUGGCUGCUGGGCUUUUGUGGGCCUUCUUCAUGCUCCCGAGAAGGGGCAUGAAGGUGGGUAGGACACUGGGCUUUGGGCUCCUGGCCAUAUACUUGUGUUUCUUGUGUACUACUCCCUCCCUUUUUGCUUAAUUUAAAGGGUCCAACUCAAAAGAAAGUAUGAGUGGUAGAACAAAUUUUGUACAUUGCAAAACUGCCCAAUUAGCAUGUUUUUUUCUCAAAAAAGGUGUGUUUCUUGGUGCUUUAUUCUGCAUUAACUGCAGUGCAUGCAUAUGUGGGCACUAAAUGAGCGG